GGGAGUGUAGUUCAGCCUGGGAGAACACACCGCUGAAGCCGGUGACGUCCCCGGUUCAAAUCCGGGCACUCCCA
rnacentral:tRNA from 1 species